rnacentral:rRNA from 1 species
GACGAACGCUGGCGGCGUGCUUAACACAUGCAAGUCGAACGGAAAGGCCCCCUUGUGGGGUACUCGAGUGGCGAACGGGUGAGUAACACGUGAGUAACCUACCCUUGACUUUGGGAUAACUUCAGGAAACUGGGGCUAAUACCGGAUAGGAGCUCCUGCUGCAUGGUGGGGGUUGGAAAGUUUCGGCGGUUGGGGAUGGACUCGCGGCUUAUCAGCUUGUUGGUGGGGUAGUGGCUCACCAAGGCUUUGACGGGUAGCCGGCCUGAGAGGGUGACCGGCCACAUUGGGACUGAGAUACGGCCCAGACUCCUACGGGAGGCAGCAGUGGGGAAUAUUGCACAAUGGGCGGAAGCCUGAUGCAGCAACGCCGCGUGCGGGAUGACGGCCUUCGGGUUGUAAACCGCUUUCGCCUGUGACGAAGCGUGAGUGACGGUAAUGGGGAAAGAAGCACUGGCUAACUACGU